rnacentral:rRNA from 1 species
UACGGGGGGGGGCAAGCGUUGUUCGGAAUUACUGGGCGUAAAGGGCUCGUAGGUGGCCAACUAAGUCAGACGUGAAAUCCCUCGGCUUAACCGGGGAACUGCGUCUGAUACUGGAUGGCUUGAGUGUGGGAGAGGGAUGCGGAAUUCCUGGUGUAGCGGUGAAAUGCGUAGAUAUCAGGAGGAACACCGGUGGCGAAGGCGGCUACCUGGACAGAAACUGACGCUGAGGCGCGAAAGCUAGGGGAGCAAACAGG